UUAAUUAUACGUUUAAUUAUAUUUACGGUUAUUUGCGUAAAUCUAUAUUAAUUGUAACCGACGUUUUUAAUGGUGUAUCUAAUCAAAUAUCUUUUUAUGCGGUGGUUAUGUAAUUGAUAUCUUUCAAUUUUUUAUUUUUUAUUUUUUGUCUUUUUUUUGUACUUCAAUAUUAUGGUUUAUUUUAUGACAUAAUAAUAUUUUUCAAUAAGUAAAAUUCAUAAAUUUUAUUUUAGAUGUUCGUAACUUUUUUAUUCUUGUUCGAAAUGUUUUUUAUAAAAUAUUUUAACAUUUCAGCAAGUAAAAUUCGAAAGUUUUAUUUAGAUGUUCGUAACUUUUUUAAUCUUGUUCGAAAUGUUUUUUAUAAAAUAUUUUAACAUUUCAGCAAGUAAAAUUCGAAA
rnacentral:lncRNA from 1 species